rnacentral:rRNA from 2 species
AAAGUCUGAUGGAGCACGCCGCGUGAGUGAAGAAGGGUUUCGGCUCGUAAAACUCUGUUGUUAAAGAAGAACAUAUCUGAGAGUAACUGUUCAGGUAUUGACGGUAUUUAACCAGAAAGCCACGGCUAACUACGUGCCAGCAGCCGCGGUAAUACGUAGGUGGCAAGCGUUGUCCGGAUUUAUUGGGCGUAAAGCGAGCGCAGGCGGUUUUUUAAGUCUGAUGUGAAAGCCUUCGGCUUAACCGAAGAAGUGCAUCGGAAACUGGGAAACUUGAGUGCAGAAGAGGACAGUGGAACUCCAUGUGUAGCGGUGAAAUGCGUAGAUAUAUGGAAGAACACCAGUGGCGAAGGCGGCUGUCUGGUCUGUAACUGACGCUGAGGCUCGAAAGUAUGGGUAGCAAACAGGAUUAGAUACCCUGGUAGUUCAUACCGUAAACGAUGAAUGCUAAGUGUUGGAGGGUUUCCGCCCUUCAGUUGCUGCAGCUAACGCAU